rnacentral:lncRNA from 10 species
ACCUGCAGUCCAGUUAUCACAAAAAAAUGGAAAACAUGAAAGCUAGAAUUUUUGUAGGGAUUGUAUUGAAUCUGCAUAUACAUUUGGAAAGUAUAAGCAUCUUGGUUUGGAGUAAUUCACCAGUGAAGUCUUCUCAACCUGGGCAAUCAUGUGAGCUUGGAAGAUGAUGCAUCCCCAUCUCAUCUUUCAGGUGAAACCUCAGCCUUGGCCAUCACCUACAUCU